rnacentral:lncRNA from 1 species
GUUUUCAAACAAGGGAUGGUAUUAUUCAGGAUUGGCUUUUUGGCUACUGGCUAAAAAAUAAACAAAAUAAAAAUAAGUUGCAUUUAUUAUAAUAAUGUGUAUAAGUAAACAAAAAGUUCCAACAAGAGUCAAUUCAAGUUCUAGAGACUAACAAGCAUGAGUGAAACACGCAAGAAAGAAAGAGAUGGAUUUUUGAAUGUUAUCCAUUAAAAUGCUCAAAAUCUCACAAGGUUAAUUGAUCUACCAUAAAUGAUAUGCAAUUUAGAGUUUAGUCCUACAUAUCAUACUAAGAAUGCACAAAAAGAAUCAAUCACAUCACAUCCCAAGUCUUUAAUCAAGAGAACAAAGAAAAUACUCACAAUUGCAACUCGAAAGCCACAGAAAAAACAUGUCAUUUUUAAAAUAAAAUAAAAUAAGUAAGUAAAUGAAAAACAAGAAAACACACAAGUAA